UACAGAGGGUGCGAGCGUUAAUCGGAAUUACUGGGCGUAAAGCGCACGUAGUCGGCUUUGCAAGCCGGUUGUGAAAUCCCCGGGCUCAACCUGGGAACUGCAUCCGGGACUGCAUUGCUAGAGUAUGGGAGAGGGAAGCGGAAUUUCUGGUGUAGCAGUGAAGUGCGUAGAUAUCAGAAGGAACAUCAGUGGCGAAGGCGGCUUCCUGGACCAAUACUGACGAUCAGGUGCGAAAGCGUGGGGAGCAAACAGG
rnacentral:rRNA from 1 species